AAUCAACACCUUCUUACCUCCGUAAUGUUGCAAAUAUUCCAACUCACUGCCCUCCAACAGUGUUGCAAGUUAUUCGGAGGGAAGAACAUACGAAUUAGCGUAAACGCGCGGCGCGUCUACUUGUUUCUCUGAUGUGUUGUAUCUUUGACCUUAUCACCAAAACACUUCUUGUCGAAUUGGUAGCUUUAAUAAAGUCAUUUAUUUGGGACCCAGAUGGAUAAGUACUUUUAUUUAUAAAGUCUCUAAAAUGAGUCUUCAGUAAAUCGAUUUCUUCUGUUCUCCAACCUAAAAAAAAGGUACUGCAUCUAAUCAAAAAUUACACUAAAAGAUUUCAAAAAUUUCAUCUGUAGCUGAAGUAAGCACAAACGGGACAUGGAUUUAUUUUUGAAUGCUGUAUGGUGUGUAAGUGGAACGAAGAUGAAAAUAAAAAGAAGUGUAAUGUAUGAAUGUAUAUUAUACAUUUUUUAAUCCAUUUUUGUUGUUGAAAAGCUAUAUUAAAUGGUUUGUUUGGCA